GAUUUCAUAAGAAUUUUUAUAUUUUUUAUUUUUUUAAAAUUUUUAUGGGGAGUAAUACGCUUUCGUUUUGUAAGGUAUCUAGUUUUUAUGGUAUUAAAAAGGGAAACCCUUUUUAGAAAAAUUUUUAUGGUUUUGAGUUAUUUUCUUUUAAUAGUAAGGGGUUGUGUAAUAACUUAUUUGGUGUUAAUUUUUUUAAUCAAUUAUUUUUUAAAAUUACAAAUUAAUUAAAGAAUUAGUAGAUUUUUUAUAUUGUUUAAAAUUUUUAUUUUUUUAAAAUAUAAAAAUUAUUAUAAUUUACUGAUUUUCUUUUAGAUUGGUUAAUAAAACCAUAGCUAAAAUUUUUUUAGUUUUUUCUGCUCUAUGUUUUUAAUAAAUAAAUGGCUGUUUUUACACUAAGGUAGCAAAAUCAUUAGUCAUUUAAUUGGUGACUUGUAUGAAUGAAUUUUCUAAAAGUUUUAUUAUUUUUUAGGUUGAAUUUAUAUAUUUAUUGAAAAUAAUAAUAUUUAACCCUAAGACUAAAAGACCCUAGAAUUUUUAUGACGUGUUAAAAUGUUAUUUGGUUGGGGUAAUAAUUUUUUUUUAAUAAAAAAAAAUAUUAUUGUAUCUAUGAACUUUUUUUAAAGAUAAAUUGUAAAAUACUCUAGGGAUAACAGCUUAAUUACUUUUUAUAGUUCUUAUUAAUAAAGUAGUUUUAGACCUCGAUGUUGGAUUGAGAAAGUCUUUUUGGGGUAG
rnacentral:rRNA from 1 species